rnacentral:rRNA from 1 species
UUGGAGGGCAAGUCUGGUGCCAGCAGCCGCGGUAAUUCCAGCUCCAAUAGCGUAUAUUAAAGUUGUUGCAGUUAAAAAGCUCGUAGUUGAAUUUCGGGAUCAAUAUGUUGGUCGUGCCUUGGUACGUACUGGCGUCAUUGGUUUCUACCUUCUGAAGAACCUCGAUGUCAUUAAUUUGGUGUCUUGGGGAAUCAGGACUGUUACUUUGAAAAAAUUAGAGUGUUUAAAGCAAGCUCACGCUUGAAUACAUUAGCAUGGAAUAAUGAAAUAGGACGUUUGAUUUUAUUUUGUUGGUUUCUAGGAUCGACGUAAUGAUUAAUAGGGAUAGUUGGGGGCAUUAGUAUUCAAUUGUCAGAGGUGAAAUUCUUGGAUUUAUUGAAGACUAACUACUGCGAAAGCAUUUGCCAAGGAUGUUUUCAUUAAUCAAGAACGAAAGUUAGGGGAUCGAAGACGAUCAGAUACCGUCGUAGUCUUAACCAUAAACUAUGCCGACUAGGGAUCGGAUGAUGUUAAUUUUUUAAUGACUCAUUCGGCGCCUUACGGGAAACCAAAGUGUUUGGGUUC